rnacentral:misc_RNA from 1 species
UCAAGCCCCUCUUCGAGAGAUUGAGAACGUGUAGCAUUAACCGUCGAGAACAAGCAAGUUUUGCGAGCGCAAGAUUCUGCUUUCUGGAUGGACGUCCUUUUGCCGCAUCCGGCUUGCUUUAUUUUGGAGCAAGGAGGAGCGCGGGAACAAGACCUCGGCGUGGUUUGCGCCAAGGAUGAAUGUUGUUGGGGUGCACCGCCUGUUUUAUGCGGCGCGGUGUAUCCUCCCACUAGUGUGAGAAUGUGCAUGACUCUUGGCAACGGAUAUCUAGGCUCUCGCGUCGAUGAAGAACGUAGCAAAAUGCGAUACUUGGUGUGAAUUGCAGAAUCCCGUGAACCAUCGAGUCUUUGAACGCAAGUUGCGCCCGAGACCAUCUGGCCAAGGGCACGUCUGCUUGGGCGUCACGCCUUACGUCACUCCAUACACCUACCAAACGUAAACCAUUAUGUGGGUGUCGGUGUGUGUGGAUGUGGAUAGUGACCCUUCGUGCUUCCGUUGCGCGGCGGGUUUGAGUGAUGGUCGUCGCUGGGUUUUUUGUCAUGCGGCGAAUGGUGGAUUAGGUUAUGUGCAUCACGCCCCCAGUUGUGCACAAGACUCCAAGCCACGACUUACGAGAGGUAAAACCCACAACGACGUUUGCACAUUUUGCAAGCUCGGACC